rnacentral:rRNA from 1 species
GACCUCAACUCAUACGUGACUACCCCCUAAAUUUAAGCA